GAUAGUGGUCAGGUUGGCAACCAAAUUUAGCCAUCACAGGCUGGCUAGGCAAGUGUCCCCUUCCUUCACUGUUCAUGUGAAUUCCUCCUGGAACCGCAUGUUCAGUGGAAGAAAAUGAACUUCCCCAAUAGUGGAGGCCAUUCCUAGGUCAAAGGGAGCUGAGUAGCUGUGCGUCCUUGCUAAAUCCUUCAAAUAAGCUCUCAGGAUCCGUUUGUAGGGAAUGCAAGAGAGUUAAGCUUCUAAGACUUCCCACAUUUUCAAACAAGGUGGUGUAUUUGACAUUAUCCUCUUCUU
rnacentral:snRNA from 1 species